rnacentral:rRNA from 1 species
UACAGAGGUCCCGAGCGUUGUUCGGAUUCACUGGGCGUAAAGGGUGCGUAGGUGGUCGGGUAAGUCGGAUGUGAAAUCUCGGAGCUCAACUCCGGAACGGCAUUGGAAACUACCUGGCUUGAGGAUUGGAAGGGGGACUGGAAUUCUCGGUGUAGCAGUGAAAUGCGUAGAUAUCGAGAGGAACACCUGUGGCGAAGGCGAGUCCCUGGACAAUCCCUGACACUGAGGCACGAAAGCUAGGGGAG